UACGAAGGGGGCUAACGUUGUUCGGAUUUACUGGGCGUAAAGCGCACGUAGGCGGGUCGUUAAGUCGGGGGUGAAAUCCUGGAGCUCAACUCCAGAACUGCCUUCGAUACUGGCGACCUAGAGUCCGGAAGAGGUGAGUGGAACUCCUAGUGUAGAGGUGGAAUUCGUAGAUAUUAGGAAGAACACCAGUGGCGAAGGCGGCUCACUGGUCCGGUACUGACGCUGAGGUGCGAAAGCGUGGGGAGCAAACAGG
rnacentral:rRNA from 1 species